GGGGAUGUAGCUCAGUGGCAGAGCACUUGCCUAACAUGCAAGAGGCCCUGCGGACCAAACAGUCCCCA
rnacentral:tRNA from 1 species